AGUGAACGCUGGCGGUAGGCCUAACACAUGCAAGUCGAACGGCAGCACAGUAAGAGCUUGCUCUUACGGGUGGCGAGUGGCGGACGGGUGAGGAAUACAUCGGAAUCUACUUUUUCGUGGGGGAUAACGUAGGGAAACUUACGCUAAUACCGCAUACGACCUACGGGUGAAAGCAGGGGAUCUUCGGACCUUGCGCGAUUGAAUGAGCCGAUGUCGGAUUAGCUAGUUGGCGGGGUAAAGGCCCACCAAGGCGACGAUCCGUAGCUGGUCGGAGAGGAUGAUCAGCCACACUGGAUCUGAGACACGGUCCAGACUCCUACGGGAGGCAGCAGUGGGGAAUAUUGGACAAUGGGCGCAAACCUGAUCCAGCCAUACCGCGUGGGUGAAGAAGGCCUUCGGGUUGUAAAGCCCUUUUGUUGGGAAAGAAAAGCAGCAGGUUAAUACCCCGCUGUUCUGACGGUACCCAAAGAAUAAGCACCGGCUAACUUCGUG
rnacentral:rRNA from 1 species